rnacentral:misc_RNA from 1 species
GAUGAAGAACGUAGCGAAAUGCGAUAAGUAAUGCGAAUUGCAGAAUUCAGUGAGUCAUCGAAUCUUUGAACGCACAUUGCGCCCUGUGGUAUUCCGCAGGGCAUGCCUGUUCGAGCGUCAUUUCAACCCUCAAGCUCUGCUUGGUGUUGGGCCCUGCCCGCUGCGGCCGGCCCUAAAGACAGUGGCGGUGCCGCCUGGCCCUGAGCGUAGUACAUCUCUCGCUCUGGAGGUCCGGUCGUGUGCUCGCCAGCAACCCCCAAUUUUUUUCAGGUUGACCUCGGAUCAGGUAGGGAUACCCGCUGAACUUAAGCAUAUCAAUAAGCGGAGGA